UGGAGAUACAAUGGUGAACCAGGCCCAUGGCUGCUUGAAUGAAUGGCUUUAACCAUCUAUUAAUAUAGCUGCUGUAGGAAGCAAGUGACAGUAACCACAGCUUUAGAAAAGAGGCCACAGCUCCACCCAGAAUUCUCGAGAGUUUUCCACACUUCUUGACAAUGAAUGUUCAGACUCAAAAGAAUACAUUGCGACUGGCACAGCAAGCAGCAUGAACAUCACAGUCGCCAGGGUCCCCUUGCUUCCCGAGUCCUCCAGCAGUGCCAGUGAGCCAUCCAGGGAAAACUACCGCUGUCUUCCACGGCAGUUUGCUGUGUGACCGUCCCAGCAGAGGGUGCGCAGAGCAGAAUUUGUUUUGGCCCAGGAGAUACAGAAACACAAGGGCCCUGUACGGAACAGUCCAGCGGUGCUUCCUGUGUGCCCUGCGCUAUUGUAUAAACCCUGCAGUCUCCUGGGAGGGUCUGGCUCUGUACUUCAAACUGGCCUUCACUGCAUUCCAGGGAUCCUUCUGCCUCAGCCUCCCGAGUACUGGGAUUACAGGUGUUUGGAGUCUCCUGGAAUUGAAUUGCAUGCAGGAGAAGAAACUGUGCUUCCUGAGCAGGUCCCGUGUGCCCAGUGCUGCCCUAUAGCAGGGACACAGAUGGGUGUCUUUCCUUUCUGCCCUCUCCGUGCUCUGGGCGGGCUACCAAGUCCAUGUCAAUUACUACCAGGAGUGAGGGAGUUUUUUUACACUAGUUCUGUUAUUGUAACCUUUCCUAGUUUUAUUAAUCUCUUUAAUUGGACCAAUGUUAUCCUUCAUUUGGAAAUUAUCCAAUUUGAAAAUUUUAUUCUCGCUUGAUGAUCAGGAAGGAAAUGCAGAUACGGGG
ensembl:lncRNA